rnacentral:SRP_RNA from 1 species
GCUGGGCGUGGUGGCAGAUGCCUGUAAUCCCAGCUACUUGGGAGGCUGAGGCAGGAGAAUUGCUUGAACCCAGGAGGCGGAGUUUGCAGUGAGCCAAGAUUAUGCCACUGCACUCUAGCCUGGGUGACAGAGCAAGACUUUGCCUCAA